rnacentral:rRNA from 1 species
CCUACGGGUGGCAGCAGUGGGGAAUAUUGCACAAUGGCGGAAACCCUGAUGCAGCGACGCCGCGUGAGUGAAGAAGUAUUUCUGUACUGAAAGCUCUAUCAGCAGGGAAGAAAAUGACGGUACCUGUCUAAGAAUCCCCGGCUAACUACGUGCCAGCAGCCGCGGGAAUACGUAGGGGGCGACGGUUAUCCGGAUUUAAUGGGUGUAAAGGGGGCUUAGACGGUAACGCAAGUCUGGAGUGAAAUCUCAUGGCUUAACCAUGGAACUGCUUUGGAAACUGUGGAGCUGGAGUGCAGGAGAGGUAAGCGGAAUUCCUGGUGUAGCGGUGAAAUGCGUAGAUAUUAGGAGGAACACCAGUUGCGAAGGCGGCUUACUGGACUGUAACUGACGUUGAGGCUCGAAAGCGUGGGGAGCAAACAGGAUUAGAUACCCUGGUAGUC